rnacentral:rRNA from 1 species
CAGCAGCCACGGUAAUACGUAGGUGGCAAGCGUUGUCCGGAAUUAUUGGGCGUAAAGGGCUCGCAGGCGGUUUCUUAAGUCUGAUGUGAAAGCCCCCGGCUCAACCGGGGAGGGUCAUUGGAAACUGGGAAACUUGAGUGCAGAAGAGGAGAGUGGAAAUCCACGUGUAGCGGUGAAAUGCGUAGAGAUGUGGAGGAACACCAGUGGCGAAGGCGACUCUCUGGUCUGUAACUGACGCUGAGGAGCGAAAGCGUGGGGAGCGAACAGGAUUAGAUACCCCAGUAGUCCCUGUCUCUUAUAC